CAGGUGCGUACUACUUGCGCAAAGGGAAACUCAAAGUUGCGUACGAUCUCAUGCCCGCGCAAUUCAGGACGACGCUGAGGAACAGGUAACAGGGGAGACGCGCCCGGCGAAGGUUCAGCCGCUUACGCUCGGCCGCCUGGUCAGCAUUACUUUGGGGUUGGCUGCGGCGGCGCCGUCGGGGCCUGCGUACGCUCCCGCAGGAGCUGCGUAUCCUCGCCA
rnacentral:misc_RNA from 1 species